rnacentral:rRNA from 1 species
CCUACGGGAGGCAGCAGUGGGGAAUAUUGGGCAAUGGGCGCAAGCCUGACGCAGCAACGCCGCGUGAAGGAAGAAGGCUUUCGGGUUGUAAACCUCUUUUGACAGGGAAGAGUAGAAGACGGUAUCUGUAGAAUAAGCCACGUAUAACUACGCGACAGCAGCCGCGGUUAGACGUAGGUGGAAAGCGUUGUCCGGAUGUACUGGGUGUAAAGGGCGUGUAGCCGGGUUGACAAGUCAGAUGUGAAAGCCUGCGGCUUAACCGCAGAACUGCAGUGGAAACUGUUGAGCUUGAGUACUGGAGAGGCAGGCGGAAUUCCUAGUGUAGCGGUGAAAUGCGUAGAUAUUAGGAAGAACACCAGUGGCGAAGGCGGUCUACUGGACAGCAACUGACGGUGAGGCGCGAAAGCGUGGGGAGCAAACAGGAUUAGAUACCCUUGUAGUC